GAAUUAUGUGAUUCAAGAUUAAGCUUCUAACUUAAAUCUUUAAUAGCGAACCUCUAUUAAUAAUUCU
rnacentral:tRNA from 1 species